AGGGCUCUCUUGCUCAAAACCUUAAUCCCUCAAGAAUCUCUCAAAUUGAAGCCCAAAUCAAGAGCCAAAUCAUUGCAUGAACACAAAUUCGAGAUCACCUAGUCAUGGGGAUUACAAGUUGGCGCUUAAACAAGCUAGGUGAAGCUUGGAGUGAAAGCGGGUCAAACGAGUCAAGCAUAGAAGAAAAGCGUAGCUCGGAUGCAAGGUAAGUGUAAUUUACACACUUAUGUAGAAUGCUUGUUAUUUCGAUACUUAUGAACGUGAAAACAAUAAUAUUGGAAAUUUGGAAAAUUGUCAAGUGUUGACUUAUGUAAAUCAUGGUUAAAAGGAUACCCAUGGCGUAAGCCGAAAUGGGUUGAAACUGCAAGAAAAGAGUGUAAAAGAAAAAGGGUAUGGUUAUAAAACCCGGGAUGGGAUGAUGUACAAAUUGGAAAUCAAAAACGGUGUUUUUGAUUUAAAUAGACAAUGUUGGGCAUAUAGUCCAAACGGGUCGAAUGGUGGUGAUAACACCAUUUGACAAUAUCGACUAAUGUGGUCGUCAAGUCUUAUGUUAACAGGACUAAUUAGCAAAUCGGAUAGUUGCGUCAUCAUUGAUGGUGUGAUAAUAAAAGCGAGGCAUAAAUCGGGUCUAUUUGUUGAUCCGAGCCAGGUACGCAUAUUUAUGUUGUAGUUAAAAGUGAUAUUUUGGUCGAAUAUUUGGUGAGAGUCCUUCAUUGUAAAAGAAGGACCAAAAUCGACCAAAAACGCCCUUGUAGGCUAAAUUGAACAAACAACCCUUAGAGGUUGUUUGGAAACGAGUCUUAUGAUUAAACAAAAGCUUAGAACGAGUAUGAGUAGUGAAAAUGUAAUUCUUGGGUCGAAAGACUCCUUAUGAGUCUUUGCCGUAAAAUGAUAUUGCAAGGGGUAUAAUUCGGAACACAUAGAUAUCUACUUUAAAUCCAACACACAAUUAGUUGUGAUGGAAGAAUACUAUAUAAGAAAUAUAGGUUACAAUGCUAGAAUAGAAUAAAAGCGAUUGUGAGCCUAAAAGUGCUUAAAUACUCUUAAUGGGUCAAAAUAAGCAAUUAAGUGUAAACGGGAUUUUAUUAUAUAAGAAACCCGUGGUUUGAGAGUAAUAUGAUAGGAGAUAUUGAUAUAAUGAACCUCAUGAUUUUAAAGAUCAAAUAAGCAAGUUGGUGUGAUAAAAUCAUGAACGGGUCAAUAUUUGGUAAAAAGGGUAAUAAGCUGAAGAUUUAAAAGUCUUAAGUUUUGUUAAGCCGAAUGUCGGAUUUUAACUCCAUAUGAUGGAGAAUCAAAUUACAAACACGUAGGAAGAAACGGUAGGUCAAACAGACUAACGAUUAGAAAGAUACGAAAGUUUUCGUGUCAUUAAGCGGCAAAUGGAAAAGGCUGAAUACAGGGACCACCGUAACUUACGGUGUCACCGUAAGUUACGGUGGAGUUGAACUCUUUACGGCAGUCUCCCCCUGAGUUACGGUGGGGAAAGUCUUAAACAGAGACCACCGUAACUUACGGUGCCACCGUAAGUUACGGUGGAGGCAAACAUGAAAUGCAAUGUUUUGGAUCAAGAGAUUAUCCUUGGGAUUUCUUUCCAUUAUCAUUUAUCUUGAUUGGUACCGUUAUUUAAAGUAUCAAAACUAACUGUUGAGUUGGUUUUGAACACAGGUGUAUGCUGAGAGCCCGGAUGAAGAUCAAGCGUCAAGCUCGAUGAGGAACCGAACACAUGUUUAAUAAAGCUUCCGCAACGUUGUUGUGUCGUUAUUCUAAACGGCGAAUUAAAUCACAUUAUGUAUAUCGCUUAAAUUAUAAAAGUUUUUAACAAGCCCGUAUUUUCAUUAUAAU